GAUACUUUGUAAUUUUGUUUCAGGUACAUUUGGAGCGCAUGAAAUAAGGGAAUGGAUAUGCUCCUGGCUGCACCAUGAGCUGAAAAUUAUGGUAGCAAGGUAGAGAUUGUUGUGACUCGAACCCCGGUUCUUUGUGCUCCCAUAAUUUUCAGCUAAAGUCGUUUUAUGGAAAUGCGAUUUAUGAAGUGAACUUUACACUGAAUGCUGACACUUGGAACAUCAAUAACUAUUGGAUAAGUCAAUUGGUCCUGGUGAUAUAUAUACGCUUGGACAUUUCGUUUGGUCUCAGGUUUUUUUGGCUUUUCGUUUCGAGAAGGUUCACCUUCUGUGAGUGGCUAGAGUUUACUGAAUCGCCAUUAUUUUGAACAUCUCAUUCGAUAUGAUAUUCUGAGAGUUUAGUCUUGAAUAUGAGUGAUUUCUUGUGUGAAAUCUGGAAUAGUUGUGAGAACUAGGGUUCUGGUUUCGUGAAGUUAGAUCUGUAGUUUCUUGUGUGAUUCAACUCAAAUCUGUUGAUUCUUUGUGAAGAGAUAAGUCUCUUAUACUGUAUUCUAUUAUUGGCUAAACGUUUGUAACCUUCGUUGCCAAUUUAAG
rnacentral:lncRNA from 1 species